GAUGAACGCUAGCUACAGGCUUAACACAUGCAAGUCGAGGGGUAGCAGGGUAGCAAUACCGCUGACGACCGGCGCACGGGUGAGUAACACGUAUCCAACCUUCCCAUAACUCGGGGAUAGCCUUUCGAAAGAAAGAUUAAUACCCGAUAGUACUUUUUCAAGGCAUCUUGAGAAAGUUAAAGAUUUAUUGGUUAUGGAUGGGGAUGCGUUCCAUUAGAUAGUUGGUGAGGUAACGGCUCACCAAGUCUUCGAUGGAUAGGGGUUCUGAGAGGAAGGUCCCCCACAUUGGUACUGAGACACGGACCAAACUCCUACGGGAGGCAGCAGUGAGGAAUAUUGGUCAAUGGGCGAGAGCCUGAACCAGCCAAGUAGCGUGAAGGAUGAAGGUCCUAUGGAUUGUAAACUUCUUUUAUAGUAGAAUAAAGUGACCUACGUGUAGGUUUUUGUAUGUAUACUAUGAAUAAGGAUCGGCUAACUCCGUGCCAGCAGCCGCCGUAA
rnacentral:rRNA from 1 species